ensembl:antisense
AUUCCAGGACCCAGCUCCAGUGAGCCCUCACGGGUUUCUUGGCGGGCUCCUUUUUCCUCCUCUUCUCAGAGUUGCUGUGGAAGGACAGGUCACGCCCACGGUAGGACGGGCCCCGGCUCAGCUCCCCACGACUCAGCUCCAGCUCGCUGUAGGGUGGCAGCGCGUCCUCGUCCGCCGCGUCGUCCUCGUCUUCGCCCUCGCUGGCCCCAGCCUUGUAGGUGGCUGGCGGCGACCAGGCGUAGUAGGAUGCGCUGCGCGGGCCUAGUUGCGCGCCCAGCUUGGACGGUGUCUCCAGACUGCCCCCGCGGCUGCUGCUCUCCGGCCGCGCCUGGCGCUCCAGCACGCUGCUCAGGUACGAGUGAUCGUACUUGGGCGCGGUGCCCGGGGUCCGGCUCACCAGGCGCGGCAGAGGCGCAUCCUCCGGCGGCCGGCGGCGUGCGGGUGCGGGACUGUAGGUCCAGCCGCGCUCCCCGUCUCCCGGCGGCUCGCGACUGCGCCCGCGCCCGUAGUACUCAUCCAGCGAGCCGUCCUGGUAGAAGGCACCGUGGGCCCGCGACUCUGAGCGCUCGAAGCGGCUCCCCGCCCGCGCCUCGUGGCUGUUGCCGUUGGCGCGCCGCGACCGCUGGCCGUACGAGUCUGCGAAGGCUGCCAGCUCGUCCAUCGACACAGCCGGCACGCCCGUGGCAAAGUUCUUCCGCGACAGCAUCUCGGACUUGGAGCGCUGCUGGCUGCGGGCAGAUGGUCACUGGUUACUGCGUGGAACCCUUGCAGCGCACCCCUGGAGUUUCAGGGGCGCAGUUUGUGUGGAAGACCAGAAUGGUUGUGUAUCUGAAAAUACCUUGUGCUCUGUGUAGUGCUGAAACACACAGAUCAGCUUGUGAUUGUGCUGAGAAGACCCUUGGGUGACAGCCACAUGUCUUACUCCACCCACCCUCACAACCACAGCAAACAACAACACACAGCUCUGGUCCCAGGAGACCAGGAAUAGUUGGUAACAUAGUAAGGACUGUAUCUCUCUCUGAGGCAGGGACCAAGUUGCCUAUUAAGUCAAGAGGCCGGAGACCUCUGCAGGGGGUAAAGGAAAUGGGGGGUGGGGUGGGGGGUGUCUACUGUCCUCCAAGGACAGAUCAUGAGUGCAGGCAUGCCAUUCAGGAAUCAAGCUGUCACACAGAUUAUUAAAUGUUGCUUGGACUUAUCACCCUGGGCAAGUUUCUUAGCAUCUGGAACUUUCUAUUUCAUCACCUUAAAAUAGGGACAUAAACGGUAGCCGCUUUUUAGAAGUAUAAGGAUUAAUUACAAGAGAUGAUGGUAUGAUUAUCAUUCUUAGGACAAAUGAUCAGGGCAGUGAAGAUAAAGGCAGUGUUCUAGGAUAAAACAUGAAGAGAGUGUCUGGGCUCACUACAGGGCCCAAGACACUCAUUUAAAAAAGGCUUAACUGGUUACUUCUCACACACAGUAUCAAAAGGGUGUAAUCUAUGUAAGAGAUAUUCCACAGUCUAUAGAAACAGAACAGACACUCAGUGGUCCCUUCCCACUCAGACCGUCACCUGUGCCUGAAGCUCUCACGGUCCUCUUUGUUAUACUCCAAGGCUGGGCCCCUGUUGGUCCCACUGUUGCCUCCCAUGACACCUGACCAGUAGUCGGGAUUGCUCUCCAGGUCCCCAGACAUAGGGAACUGCUUAUUCCGCAUCUGGUGGUAAGACUGGCGGAAAUUGCUGUCAUCAUCAUGCAGGGAGCUGAGUUCCGAGAUGGUGUUGUUAUCUGCAGGGACAAAAGCAGGCAUCGAGGUUUUAUAAAGGGUAGGAAGGGAGUGCUGCUAAGGGCUGAGGUCACCUAUUCCAGAAUCUCCUGCCUGGGAGCCGGUGGGCUGUAGGUGCGCACAGGUGGUAUUUGUGUUACUCAGCAGGAAUUGGCUCCAGCUCAAACCCAACUUGCUUACAGUGAGGGAGGCUUCCUACAUGCUGUUCUUGGAAUAGGGAGACAAUUGUCUUUGUUCUACCUAAGGCAGGCUUCCUGGACUCCCUUGUUCAAAUGUUUUUCUCUGUCCUAUAUAAUCACUGCGCUGAACUUCAACGAUUCAGGCUAUGUUGGGCCAAGAGAGGAAGGGGAAAAAAAGCCAUGACUAAUAGCAUCUUCCCUUCUGCUGGCCCGGUUCCAAAGGGGGGUCUUUAGAGCCAGGAUGAACACCAUGCUUUAGAAGAGGCCCAUUCUGCUCUCCUCAGCCAUACUGCUCUCCAAAAGGCUCAAAGUCAAGGUGAAGGACAUAUACCUUGGUUUCAGUCCACUUACCUUUUAGACCACGCUCCUGCUGUGUAACACCCUGACCAAGGAGCACCAGACCUUCUUAAGGCCUGGGUAGACCUGUUCCCCUCCCUACCAAAGGAUUCGAGGUGUUUGUGGUCAUGAGUGGCUAGGUCAGAAGUUUGGAAGGUGGACUUAGCCUUUGUGUCCACUGGGCUGUAGCUUGAACUCUGGCCCCUACCUAAAAAGUGUAAGAAAGAUGCGGUCAUAGAUUUCUCACUUCCUAGCUUUGUGCAGAAGCACUUGUGAACUAGGACCGGAAUUAUGACGUAGGCUGGAAAAAUAACAAAUUUUGAUUAUUUGAAAAACUUAGAAAUGUAUUGAAUUUCAUUUUACUUAAACAAAUCUAGUGAACCUGUUUGUAAUGUAACUGAAUCCACUUGUUUUCUAAAUCCUUUAACUGAGACUUUGAAAAUAUUAUUAAAGACAACAUUUACUAGUC